UGUUGAAAACACGUUCUCAAAGUAAACGUGUGGUGAUCUAUGUAGGUUUUGAUAAAUGCCAAACCAACCAACGAGGAUGGAACAUUAACAGUCAAGUACAAGAGAAACAGUGCAAGACCAAGAAUCGCAAAGAAGAUUAUUGUUGCGUUUAUUGUUGAGUCGUUUUAUUUUGUGAUCUUGAUUCAACAACAUAAUCUAAAUAUUGGCU
rnacentral:lncRNA from 1 species